CAGUGCAAUCCUCAUCUCUGUAUUUUACCGUGUGGACAUACUCUUUCCUUCCAUGUUCCACUGUCGUUUGUUAUUCCACAUCUAACACAACCACAUCCCAACAGAUCCGAACACGUCCGAUAUCAUCCAAGAGAAUGUGGCAGCUGAAGGGGGAGAGGCCAAGGGUGAAGACAUUUAGCCACCCCCUGAAGUACAUGGCAUCAUUCAACCCUCUUGGUGAGCUGCAGGAAUGUGCUUCCCAUUGCAGUGCACCAGCUCCAUGUACUGAUUUUGGUGUGAACUUGAUGGGGUUGGAGGAAACUCGACUUGGCCAUCAAGCUCACCACAAUAUAACAUGAAAAGUGAAAAUUGCUGCACACAACAGUCUGUCGUCUGCACUGGGAGGCAAGGCAGCUCAAAGCCCAGGCUGUUACAAAUCCUGGGCAGUUUUUGCCCAGAGCCAGCAAUUUUUUAGAUCCAAUAGGGAUGGAUUUUUUCUGAGGUCAGGUUCAACAUGCUGCAAGAUGCCAAGAUCUAAGCCUAGUAGGAGAUAUGGGUUACAAGAGAGGAGGUUUGCUCUGGCCUUAUACUUUCAAAGUCCAAAUGCUAAUAGAUUUCUGAGCACAGUAUUUCACUUGUCUUCAGUUUCAACACUUCACUCAUGACUCAGGGGUAUUUCAGUACAUGUUGGCUGGAGCAAACAGACUCUGACAGCCCUGCAGCAAAGAGCACAGGCUUUGUCAAAAGAAGAGAAACUUUGUGGGAUUUGCCAUUAUUUAGUAUUACUCUUGUUACGCCAAGAAUAUUUUUCCAUAUACUUUGCCAAAUAUUGCAAGUAAUGCACCAUUGUUGGGCUCGCUUGUUAUAAAUCAGAUCUUGUUCAAUUAACAAGCUUUGGGUGUCUGCCACUUUCCAGUUGUAAUGCAAGGAAUCAUUUAUCUUCCCUGCUAGAUAUCACACGUAAUGCACCAUUGUUGGUUUUGCCUGUUAUAAAUCAGAUCUUGUUCAGUUAAAAAGCUUUAGGUGUCUGCCACUUUCCAAUUGUAAUGCAAGGAAUCCCCUGCCAGAUAUCGCAUGUAAUGCACUAUUGUUGGUUUUGCCUAUUAUAAAUCAGAUCUUGUUCAGCUCACAAGCUUUGAAUAUCUACCAUUGUUUAUUUUAGGUGUAAUGCUUGGAAGCAUUUGUUCUCUUCCCUACCCAACAGUAUGCAAUAUUUUAUUGUGGAUUUUGCCUGUUAUAUUUAAUCUUGUUCAGGUAACAAGCUUUUGGUGUCUGCCUUACCUAAUAUGUCCUGCAGUGACACUUGGCUUGGUUUCAUAAUGUGAAAUACAGCAUGUAAUUUCAUCACACUAAGUGUCUAUCAUCACGUGUCUGGCAUCAUUAAUGUGGCUUCCAGGAGUAAUCUUGUUUGUAUUACAGCUUGCAAAUUUUUUUCUGCUUUAUUUGAUAUACAUAAUCACAUAGGUAUGAUUUACAAAAUGUA